UAACGCGUAGGUAACCUGCCUGGUAGCGGGGGGUAACUAUUGAAACGAUAGCUAAUACCGCAUGACAACAGUUAUUGCAUGAUAACUGUUUAAAGGGGGCAAUUGCUCCACUACCAGAUGGACCUGCGUUGUAUUAGCUAGUUGGUGAGGUAACGGCUCACCAAGGCGACGAUACAUAGCCGACCUGAGAGGGUGAUCGGCCACACUGGGACUGAGACACGGCCCAG
rnacentral:rRNA from 1 species